GCGGCCGCCCGGCCCGCUUGACAUACCAGAAAUAGCUGCACACAAUUGUACCUUUCCCGGCCAAGAAACCUCCCCCGCUGGGGAGCGCGGCCCGCCGCCCUCACCUGAGCCCCGGCCAGCUGAGCCCGCUACCCGCUCUCCCGCCGCGAUCCGGCCCAGCCGCCAGGCAUAUUCUACCAGUGCAAGAGAUCAACAAUGAUUACAAAAUUGCUAAAGAAGUCACUUUCAAGAGAUCUGGAGAAGUAAGAUGGCCAAAUAAAAGCCUCUACCAAUCAUCCUCCCCACAGGAACACCAAAUUUAAGAACUAUCUACACAAAAAAGCACCUUCAUAAGAACCAAAAAUCAGAGAGAACAAGGAUAAAGAAGUAUCCAAAUACAAAGAAAAUGUUAUGCAAGUGACCUUUAGAGAUGUUUUAAAGAUGACAAAAUAUUGAUGAAGAUGGGCCAACAAGUGUUACUGUUACCUCUAAUAAAGUUUCAUCACUAGUUUCACCAUGGUUAAUUGGAAAUGGCUUCCGCCCAUCUGUGGAAAACAGACAAACAAUUGAAUGCUUAGCUGUUUUUACAGGAUAAUGUGCUUUCAACUUCCAUU